UACGUAGGGAGCAAGCGUUGUCCGGAUUUACUGGGUGUAAAGGGUGCGUAGGCGGCUCUGCAAGUCAGGUGUGAAAACUAUCGGCUUAACUGAUAGACUGCAUUUGAAACUGUGGGGCUUGAGUGGAGCAGAGGCAGACGGAAUUCCCGGUGUAGCGGUGAAAUGCGUAGAGAUCGGGAGGAACACCAGUGGCGAAGGCGGUCUGCUGGGCUUUAACUGACGCUGAGGCACGAAAGCAUGGGUAGCAAACAGGAUUAGAUACCCUGGUAGUCCAUGCUGUAAACGAUGAUUACUAGGUGUGGGGGGUCUGACCCCCUCCGUGCCGGAGUUAACACAAUAAGUAAUCCACCUGGGAAGUACGACCGCAAGGUUGAA
rnacentral:rRNA from 1 species